GGGGCCUACGGGGGGCAGCAGUGAGGAAUAUUGGUCAAUGGUCGGGAGACUGAACCAGCCAAGCCGCGUGAGGGAUGAAGGUACAGAGUAUCGUAAACCUCUUUUGUCAGGGAACAAAGGCGGGGACGUGUCCCCGGAUGAGUGUACCUGAAGAAAAAGCAUCGGCUAACUCCGUGCCAGCAGCCGCGGUAAUACGGAGGAUGCGAGCGUUAUCUGGAUUUAUUGGGUUUAAAGGGUGCGCAGGCGGUCUGUUAAGUCAGCGGUCAAAUCCCGGGGCUCAACCCCUGCGAGCCGUUGAAACUGGG
rnacentral:rRNA from 1 species